UUUAUUGCCCCCUUCUCAAGAUUAAAAUAUUAAAUCUUAUUCACACUAGUGUCUGAUGACAAUGCCUAAUAGUCAUGGAGUACUCAGUUAGCUUUCUACCUUUGAUUUAGUAAAUAUAAAAGAGGUAUUAAGACAAUGAUGAAUCCUGCUUAGGAUCUUUCUAUGUACCUUCUGUUAAAGUAUGUAUGUGUGUUUAUAUGUACCAGUGAAUACAAAUCAGAUCACUAAUACAUGAGGUAGAAAGGAGUUUAAAGCACAGAAUGUGAUUUAGAUUAGAUAAGGAAAGCUAAUUUUUAAAAUUCUGGCCUAGUAGAAGAAUGUACUGAGAAAGGUUGUGAGAAAAUUAUUUGACUGAAGAAUGUGGGACUUGAAGUUUCCCACUUAUGCUUAGCAACCAUUACUUUACCUAUCCAUCUCCCUCAGAAGGAAAAAAACAAAGUUAAAAGAAUAACAUUCUGUAGAUUUGCAAUAACAUUAAAAUUUCUUUGAAAAUAAUUUAUUGUUCUGGCUCUAUUUAGCCAAUGUAAAACCCUGGAGUCUUUAUAAACAAGACAUUCUUAUCAGCAUGAGAGGGUGAGUAAGUUUCAACUCUUGCCUGAAGUAAGAGCAAGCGACUGUGUAUAAGGUAGUUGUCGUUAAACAUAUUUAUCAUUCAUUCUCUAGCUUUUCCAUAAUUAACUUGAGGUGACUACUGCAAUUAUACAUAGAAUGUAGAAAAUUAUAAAGAAACAUGAGCAAGAGAAAACCCAAAUUUAAACAGAGGGUUAGGACCAGGGAACAAACUAGAAUGAAAGAUAUGCAGGCCACAGGUUCCUAUGCAAACACUAAAGCUGAGCUAAAAUUAGACUCAGAGCUUCAUGACAGCCAAAGUGAAAAGGGAAACACACCCAGUUACAUAAUGUACUUGUCUGUAAGGAAGACACAUCUGUUACUCAAGUGUAGCCAAAGAUUUCAUGACAGUUGGCUCUGAAAGAAAAUUCUCUCUUGGGAAUUUCCACAGGGGAC